ensembl:lncRNA
CAGCAGCUACGCGGCAGGCAGACUCUGCAGGUUUCUUUCCACCCUGGUCCUGCCUCAAGCUCAUCUCUGAGCAUAAAGGGCCCAGAAGGUGAGCUCAGACUCUAGAUGUGAGUGUGAGCGUGUGCAUGAGUGUUGGGUGUGAUCCUGAUUGUGUGAGCAUGUGAAUGUGAGCACAGGUGUGCAAGCUUGUGUAUGUGUGGGUGAGCAUGUGAGUGUGUGAGUGUGAGCACGUGAGCGUGUGAUCAUGUGUGUGAGCGUGUGUGCAUGCACGGGGGGCGGGGGGAGAAAGGAGCCGGAAGGAGACUCCGUCGGCCUGACCUGCAGUGAGACGCUGUGUCCUUGUCUCCUGGGGAGAACCCUUCUGCGUUCACAGGGCCGCCGCGCAGCCAAGCCCGGGGCUCUCGUCACGGUGCCACUAAGCAGAAAGCUGGCAGCAACAGGCAUUGUGCGACCAAAGGAUGGGGUGUGAUCCUUCCCAGCUGGCCUGACUCCCUACGCAGUGCUCUCCCCUGGGCUCGUGUGGGCAUGUGGCCUCGGUCCCCAGCUGUGCGUUCAGGCAGGACCCUGUACCCCAUCUUACCUCAACAAAGGGGCACCCCAGGUGGGGUCCCCAGAGGACAGCUGCAGGAGCAGCUCCGGCUGGCUUGGCUGAAACGGGCUGUUUGAAGGGAUGCUGGGAGCGCAGGGCCUGGGAGCCCAGAGAAGCAGGUGCAAGCUUCCGAAAGCAGCACCCCAAACCUCGCUGAGACCAGGAGGCAGACCCCUGCCUGGCGCUGCACACUUGUGCCUGGAAGUUCCUGGCUGCACUGCUGGCCCCCAACCCUGGAUGCUGUGGCCCUAUAAGCAGCCUGACCUCACUUGCGCCUGAGACACGCGUGUCACAGGCCGAGCCCUGCCCCCCACUCGAAGCCUCACCUGGAGCAUCCGGGCUCGGAGCUGGGUCUGCCCCUGGCUGCUGGGGGCGGGGCUUUGGCACCUAGACUGGGGCGCCGAUGCCCUGGUGCGUCCCCAAAUACAGACAGGCUGUUCCAAAGACACUGGGGACAGAAAGGAACAGACUGCUGACAAACAGCCAGCUGGACACAUCUUUAGAAAAUUAAGCUGAGCAAAACAAGCCAGUUCUAAAUAAUUACCUUACAGAGGCCUCCUUUGAGGGAGCAUCCUUAAAAUGACAUUUUGGAAGCAGAGGGCAGAGGGACAGUUGUUGGUGGGGCUGGGAGGGGGGACGGGGAGUAAAGAGAGGAGGCUACGGGAGGGCAGCAGGAGGGACCCGGCGGGGACAGGGCGUUCUGUAUCUGUGUCCGUGUCACCGUCCUGGUCUGAUACUGCAGCACCGUUUGCAAUGUUACCCCUGGGGAAACAGAAUAAAGGAUCUCCCGUGUUGCUCCUUACAUGUGCUUUUGGAUCUAUGAUCUCAUAAUUAAAAGUUUAAUAAUAACUAAAAAAAAAGACGGCAGACCAGGACAGGUGCCACCACAGGGUAGGGGGUGUCUGGUCCCUUCCUGGUGCCUGUGCCCAAGCCUCCCGUGGGGCAGCCUCUCUGUCCUGCUCAGAAACUUGCAGACCAAAAAGAAAAAACAGAGGAAAAUAGUCUUCAUUAUUCUAUGAAGAAAGAUGAGACACUCAUAGCCCAGAGACGCGGGCUGGACUGCUUGAGGCUUGCCCCUGGCAGAGGCCUCUUGGCCGGAGACUGUGGGGGUGUCUCAGGGGAGACGAGCUUUUCCUGGCUCUCACUGCGUCGCCUGCCCUCCCAUCUGCUGUAUUUCAGUGUCGCCUUCUGUGUGGCAGAGCAGUGCCAUCUAAAGACCGCAGCUGUGCCCCUUCUGCACAGACGAGGGAGGUGGGAGCCCGGAGACAAACACUGCGUCUUUUCUUUUUAAUCUCGUCCCCCCCCUUCAGUUUGCCAGUCUUGCCCGUCAGUGUCCCCUGGACCUUGAGCUGUUUGCAAACCCAGUGAGCAUCUGAUUCCCGGCUUAGAGCAGGUCGGAGGUGGUGCUGGAGGGGAAGGCACACCCCUUUGCUGACUGGGCGGUGCACCUGGUGUUCCGCCACCCAGCUGGCCUCGGUGGGACCCUCGCCAGGGGGAAUAUGGGGCCACACUCCAUGGACUCAGCAUCCUAAGCAGAGUCAGAAGUGCUUCUGGGGCCCAGAGCGCCGUGCUCCGUGUCGUACUGUGCUCCAGCUGAUGUGAGAAGGGCUGGAGCCAGAGACUCCCUGGGGACCGCAGAGCAGACCCGGAGCAGAGCAGCCCAGCCAGGGCGUGGCGGGAUGAACAAGCAAGCAAAUGCCUCCCUCUGAGGUCCCCAGGUGGCUUACAGCUUAAUCUGCUCACUUCUCCCCGUUCAUUUCCUUCUAUUUAUAAGUUGCUGGCUCUGCAACUCUGUAAUACUAUCUGGUUGUAGUCACAGAGAAUUGGGAAUUUGGUUUUAGAGCUCUCAGUAGAACACGAAUUGCUGUCAUUUGGUCUGUCUGCCUCCCUCUGCCUGACACCAAGCUCACAGGUACACAUGGGGGCCCUCCAUCCCACUAAAAGCCCUCCUUAGCAUGGAAAGGCAUCCCUGGUUUUCCAUCUCAGGGGAGAGUGCGUGUGUGUCUUGAGACAGAAGUGAUUGGAGAGGGUGAAAAAUACAGGUUUGAGAAUCGAAGGUCCAAUGCUUGGCUCUAGAACUUAUCUGCUAUUUAAACUUUGGAUUCCUAAACAUGGUUAGAGGCGGUCACUUCAUGUCACAAAAUGGCCACUGGAGCACCAACCAUCACACCCGUAUUCCAGACAGGAAGAGGAGACUGGGGUGGGGGGGGAGAGCGCUUCUCAGCUGAGGUAGCCCUCUUUAGGGAGCUUUUCUGGAAGCCUCAGCCCAUUGUUUACAGCUCAUUGGCCAGGGGAAGCUGAGAAACAGUUUCUCACGGCUGCGCCACCAGCACAGGGCUUGUGCCAAAAGGGAGGAGGGGAGAAUGGCCAUCGGACAGGCAGUGGGUUCUUCGCUCCCUCCCUCGGGCUGGGUGGAGGCGGCCGCACUGGUCGAUUUUUCUCAGCCCCUGUUUGCUUUGUCCACAGCACUCGCCACAGGGUGUCUCCCCCUAAGACUGCGAGCUCUCCAGGAGGAGGGGCCUGGAAAGUGGGGCCCAUCACGGCUGACUAGCUUAGGCCAAGGUCCUCCGGGGUUUGGGGGCACAGCCCCCAGCACGAGGAAUCUGGAGAAAAGCAGGCUAUGUCUACAGCUCUGAUCUGUCUUUGGCUACGGAACUGAAUCUCACAUUUCAAACACUGUUGAUGGUAUAGACACGAGGAUUUAAAAUGUUUUCUUUAUUCAAUUAACACAUGUUUUUCUUCUCACGUCCCACCCCUCUUCUCAAUUUCUGAGCGUAACCACUGUUUCAUUUCGCUGUAAUCACCUGUUUGUCUGCUGUUGUUGGACAGCUGCCAGGCUCCAUGCUGGGCGCUGGGGGCACUGGGGACGGGAGGUAGGCCUGGGCCUCAGGGGCGCAGAUGGUGGGGGCUGAGUCCCCACGCCCCAGGGCAAGGGAAGGGGUGGCAAUUAGGACCACCAGCCAGGCAGGGGCGGGAGGGAGGUUUCUGGAGAGGGGGCGGCACCUGCAGCUGGCGGGAGGCGGCGGAUGGACAGGGUGGACGCGGGAGGGGCAGGGAGCUUCUGCAUCGGCCGAGCAGGGUGAGGUGCAGGCUUCGACCUGGCAGAGCCGCAGGACAGCGGCGCACAGAGCAAGCAAGCGCUGGGCCAGAGAGCCCGGAAAGCCGGCGCAGUGCGGGGAGGCCAAGGAAGGGAACUAGCCUGACGGCACAGUUCCGAGGGCGGGUUUAGAAAUAGGGAAGGGGGCUUACCCGGUGGCACAGUUCCGAGGGCAAGUUCUAAAAAUAAUGAGGCUCACCUGCUAACCCGACAACAACAGCAGCAAUAACAAAAUGAAGGCUUUGCACAAUAGUGCAAGAGUAAAAAUUGCUU